GCAAAUUCCUCCUGACGGUGGGCAGCCCACUACGAGACGGUUAUGAACGUCACCAUCAGUCUGUUGAGCCCACCGCCUAUAUAAGGGGGACCUCAGAUAUGUUAUUCUAUAAGCUCUCAUUCUUUUACCUCAAAACUCUGCUAAAUUCUUCGUUCGAACACUCCAUUUUUAUUGAGGCAGAGAACUGACUUGAGCGUCGGAGGGUCUUGCCGGAGCAACC
rnacentral:lncRNA from 1 species